rnacentral:rRNA from 1 species
UACAGAGGGUGCGAGCGUUGUCCGGAAUCACUGGGCGUAAAGGGCGCGUAGGUGGCGACCCAAGUCGAUGGUGAAAGCUCGCCGCUCAACGGCGAGUCGGCCACCGAUACUGGGUUGCUGGAGCACUGUAGAGGCAGAUGGAAUUCCGGGUGUAGCGGUGGAAUGCGUAGAGAUCCGGAAGAACACCAGUGGCGAAGGCGGCUCACUGGCCCGAUACUGA